rnacentral:lncRNA from 1 species
UUUUUUGGAAAAAAAAAAAGAAAAGAAAAAAUGCAUCAAUUAAUCGAAGGAAAGCAAAACCAAUCCCUCUUUACCCUCGUCGAACGCACACCCAGUUUUUGAUCGCCGAACCUAUGUCGUGAAUCAUUAAUUUCCACCAACUUCGCCGCCAUUCUCUUCACUAUCUCCGAUUGCUGUCUAUCCGUUGAACAACAAAGAAGUCAAUAUCUUUAGCUUUGCAAUAUCACCGACUAUAAAAAGGUAAGAUUUUUGGGGGUUUUGAACAAGUUAGGACUUGUACAUCUUUAACAUAUUUUGGUUGAUUUUGUGUUUAAUGUUUCUUCUGGUUCUUCCCGGAGCCCGCGUAUGAAGGCUUAUUUUCUUUGACCAUCCUCUUUAUAUUUGUGUAUCUAUCUAUAUAUAGGAAUGUGAUGUAUAUGUAUUUCUUGCUCCACAUAAAGGGAUUUAAACGGCAAGCUUUGAAUUAGUGCAAAUUUGAAUCAGACCAAUCAUUUCUACAUUCCCAUUUUAAUGAAAUUUACAGUUCUUGGUUAAACUGGUACAAGAAAGAAUUCGUAUCUGUGAUUAAAGGAGCAUUUGUUUGUAAUAUUUGAAUUUCUUCACCACAAUUUCACGCACUAGAAUAGAAUAUAUAAAUGGGAGAUCAUAUUGAUUCAAAAUCAUAUUUUUUUGUGACCGCACAAGGGGACAUUAAAGUGGUUAGUGAUUUAUGACCCUUUUAGAUUACGAGAUUAGUUAUAAUAGCGAAUCCUUGUCUGGUUUUGAUUUUGCCUUUUUGGCGAUGAUAGAUAUUCUUGGUUGUGUUAAAAAAAUUAGGACUUUGUACAUCUUUUAAUCAAGUCAGUAUGAUAAUUAGCAUGCUUUUUCUCAAUUACACCUGACUUGUUUUAUCUAGUCAAACAAGAGAUAAUUUAAUUACAUUUGUGUGCAUCCAUGUACUUCCUACCUUGUGGGAUCAAAUGUGAGGAUUGCCAAUUUGUCUGACAAUGGAAUACUAGUUCGUAAUUGUCCUUGCUUGGUUUGGAGUGGGUAUCUACAGGCAGUGUGAGCGAGCAUAGGCUACUGUCAUGACUCUAGCCUGGAUCUCACUAAUCAUAUACGAUAAGCUAUUGAGAUCAUAAGUUCCCGGGUCUUGAUUUUCUGAAUAUUAUUGGUACAAGAAAGCCAUCAGAUCAUAAGAUAUUCAUGUGCUUGGGAAUUGGAAGUUAAGGCCUUUCUUUAAAUUUGAUUUGGCUUUCACAUUUGAAGCUCUGGUUGACAUCUAAACAAUUGUAAUGUGGUGAUCAACUUGUAUUUUUGGAAUUGUUAUGCUCUAAUGUAUUGAAAUUGUUGUAUGUUAUUAUGUGAAUUUGUAAAUUUACCAUAUUUGCUCCUUGCUAGUGUAGAAUUGAGAAGAACAAAACCAGUUAUAUUUUGAAACACUUAGGCCCUGUUCUCUUUAUCGUUUUCGGGCCGUUUUCUGUUUUCGAUUUUUCAAAACGGUGAAAACGUGUUCUCUUUCCCAUUUUCGAAAACGAAUUUUCGAAAACUAAAAAAAAUUUGUGAAGAAAACACAAAACGACUUUUUUGUCGUUUUGGGUGUUUUCAGUGUAAAAUUUGAAAAAACUGAAAACGCGGAAAACACCUUUUUUUAUCGGACGUGGUGUGGUGAUUCUCAAAAUUUCAAAAAAAAAAAAUUCAUUUUUUUUGUUUUGAGAAACUAACAAAAAGAAUGCAUUUUUAACAAUUUCAAAACAAACACUCAAAACAGAAAACUCAAAAUGAAUUCAAAAUUCAAAACACAAAAUUGAAACACAAAGAGAACACCCCCUUAUUUGCUCUAUGUACUGCUCUUUGCUAUGACUUGAUAGCUAUAUGUACGCUAACUUGGAUGCACGUGAUUGUUUUCCAUGUAGGGAUGAGGUGGUAGGAAUUAUGGUGUUUGUUACAGUUGUCGAAGCACAGAUCACUUCUUCGGAGAAUGCCAUAAAAAACAACGUUGUCCAUGGUAUGUAGAUGGAAUCCAAAAAUGUUUUGAGGUUUAAAAUGAGGGCAAUAACAAAGGCCAACUAUUCAAAACUUGCAAUAAUGACUACGAAUUUUUUAGUUGGGUAAUAGAAAAAGUAAAUGGCGAAUCAGUACCAUUAAUGAAGUAAUAAAUCCUACUGUGAAUGAAGAAGUCGAUGAGUUGCAAAAUGUUCGAAAGUCUAGCUCGAGUAGCCGAGAAAGGUUUCAUUUCAUUGAAUGUGACAUUCCGCAAGGGUAAAGAGUCCUCAGAAGAUAAUGGAAAAAGAAAGGGGUCAGCAUAAUGCAUAAUUAUGUUUGAUGUUGCAAUUUUUUGUAGUUAUAUUGUUCGAUUCAUAAUAUCGUGAGAGGUUGGGAAAUUAUUCCUGUAACUCAUCAAACUUGAAGUACAACUUAUGUUGGUGUAUAUUUAUUCGAAUCAAACUAUGUUAAUGUACCUUGAUCUUACAUCUUGAUAAUAAAUUCAUAGUCAUCAAAUCCAGA